rnacentral:rRNA from 1 species
CCUACGGGGGGCAGCAGUGGGGGAUAUUGCACAAUGGGGGAAACCCUGAUGCAGCGACGCCGCGUGUGGGAAGACGGUCCUCUGGAUUGUAAACCACUGUCCCCAGGGACGAAGAUGACGGUACAUGGGGAGGAAGCUCCGGCUAACUAAGUGCUAGCCGCCGCGGUAAUACGUAGGGAGCGAUCGUUGUCCGGAAUUACUGGGUGUAACGGGAGCGUAGGCGGGGCUGCCAGUUGGGUGUCAAAACUACCGGCUAAACUGGGCGUCGCACUUAAAACUGCAGCUCUUGAGUGAAGUAGAGGCAGGCGGAAUUCCUAGUGUAGCGGUGAAAUGCGUAGAUAUUGGGAGGAACACCAGUGGCGAAGGCGGCCUGCUGGGCUUUUACUGACGCUGAGGCUCGAAAGUGUGGGGAGCAAACAGGAUUAGAUACCCUUGUAGUC